UUCUAUGCUAAGUUCAUAAGAAAAUUUUCAUAUAAGAUAAUCAUUAGAUUGAGCUUGCAUUUUCAAUUCUUGAGUUUCAUCAACCUUGGUUUCACACUUUCGAGUUUUCCCGCAGCCUAAAAGAAGAUCUUUCCUCUCAGAUUUAUACUCUCUCGAGUUCAGCCUCCCCUUUCUCUCGGGCGUUUCUUCUUCGUCCCUCAUUUC
rnacentral:lncRNA from 1 species